AUUGAACGCUGGCGGAAUGCUUUACACAUGCAAGUCGAACGGUAGAGGGGGGCAACCCCCUUGAGAGUGGCGAACGGGUGAGUAAUAUAUCGGAACGUGCCCAGGUCGUGGGGGAUAACGUAGCGAAAGUUACGCUAAUACCGCAUACGAUCUAAGGAUGAAAGCGGGGGAUCGCAAGACCUCGCGCGAAUUGGAGCGGCCGAUAUCAGAUUAGGUAGUUGGUGAGGUAAAGGCUCACCAAGCCAACGAUCUGUAGCUGGUCUGAGAGGACGACCAGCCACACUGGAACUGAGACACGGUCCAGACUCCUACGGGAGGCAGCA
rnacentral:rRNA from 1 species